rnacentral:rRNA from 1 species
GACGAACGCUGGCGGCGUGCUUAACACAUGCAAGUCGAACGGAAAGGCCCUGCUUUUGUGGGGUGCUCGAGUGGCGAACGGGUGAGUAACACGUGAGUAACCUGCCCUUGACUUUGGGAUAACUUCAGGAAACUGGGGCUAAUACCGGAUAGGAGCUCCUGCUGCAUGGUGGGGGUCGGAAAGUUUCGGCGGUUGGGGAUGGACUCGCGGCUUAUCAGCUUGUUGGUGGGGUAGUGGCUUACCAAGGCUUUGACGGGUAGCCGGCCUGAGAGGGUGACCGGCCACAUUGGGACUGAGAUACGGCCCAGACUCCUACGGGAGGCAGCAGUGUGGAAUAUUGCACAAUGGGCGGAAGCCUGAUGCAGCAACGCCGCGUGCGGGAUGACGGCCUUCGGGUUGUAAACCGCUUUCGCCUGUGACGAAGCGUGAGUGACGGUAAUGGGUAAAGAAGCACCGGCUAACUACGUG